rnacentral:rRNA from 1 species
AUACGAAGGGGGCUAGCGUUGUUCGGAAUUACUGGGCGUAAAGCGCAUGUAGGCGGACAUUUAAGUCAGGGGUGAAAUCCCGGGGCUCAAAAACCUCGGAACUGCCUUUGAUACUGGGUGUCUAGAGUGUGGAAGAGGUAAGUGGAAUUCCGAGUGUAGAGGUGAAAUUCGUAGAUAUUCGGAGGAACACCAGUGGCGAAGGCGGCUUACUGGUCCGUUACUGACGCUGAGGUGCGAAAGCGUGGGGAGC